GCGCUCCCUUUGGCAGCACAUAUACUAAAGCUGGGACAACACAGGGUGAGGUUAGCGUGUCCCCUGUGCAAGGAUGAUGCACAAGCAUGUGAAGCGUUCUGCAGUUUU